rnacentral:rRNA from 1 species
UACGUAGGGUGCAAGCGUUGUCCGGAAUUACUGGGCGUAAAGGGCGCGUAGGCGGUGUGUCAAGUCAGGCGUGAAAGCCCCGGGCUCAACCUGGGAACCGCGCUUGAGACUGGCACGCUAGAGUUCGGGAGAGGAUGGUGGAAUUCCCAGUGUAGAGGUGAAAUUCGUAGAUAUUGGGAAGAACACCGAUGGUGAAGGCAGCCAUCUGGACCGACACUGACGCUGAGGCGCGAAAGCGUGGGGAGCAAACAGG